rnacentral:lncRNA from 1 species
AUGAGUUUGGAUAUAUACACACACUCCUGUGAUACCGUCCCCACAAUCAAGGUAGCAAACAUAUCUAUACAGCCUUCAAAAGUUUCCAAGCCCAUCCGUUUGUGGUCAGCUUCUCCAAGAUGGGACACAACAGAAUGCACGCAGUAUGUGCAGGGCUGUGCCAUCAGUAUAUUGGCAUGUUCGGCCCCAAGCAGCAGAUCUCAGUACUCUUGCUGGGGCCAGAGCCCAGACCCUGGCCCGUGAUAAGAUAUGAAUGAACAUCUGAGGGACUUGCUGGAAUAGCGGAUGGGAACCUGGAAGCUGAUGAUACUACAACGUAAUUAUCUCCAGGUAAGGCGUUGUGCUCUAAAAACCAUACACCAUAGGCCAAAGUGACACUGGGGUUCUCAAGAGAACACGUAAGCAUAUUUAUUUCUCAAGCAUCAUCACUCCCUGAGAAAGCAGAGAAACCUUUUUUAAAGCUUCCACAUAUGAACUCUUUUUUCAGAACCUUGUGCUUUCUGUGAUUUACCACAGGAAUAUUAAUGGCAAGCAAAUACUAUUUUAGUGAAAUCCUUCUGUGCCCUUUAAAGAAUAGCAUCCAAAACAAUUAGCAGACUUGGAAGAACUGUUUCUCCCACCCAGGCACACAGGCUCUGGAGCCCUCGCUCUCAAUCUUAGUCCAGGGGACCCAAAUAGUCAAGUCCUGCCUCCCUAUUCCUACCCCUUCUCCAGCCAUUAUUGUAGGUAUUUGGGAGGGAGGUGGUAACAGAAAGCCACAGCCCAGGAACAGGCUCUCCUGGCCUUGCGCACCUCCACUACUCCCCCAACCUCCUCUACUGACUUCAUACCAUGUCGGGGAGGAAAUUGGGGCCCGGGUUGAAACCACCUCCCCAGAAGGCAUAGGCUGUUGGACAAGAGGGCCGGCAACCUGAUGGCGGUCUCCAAGAUGCGACAGUGGCACAGCUCUGCAGCCUGAGAUAGAGGGUCUAGGGGAGAUAGCAGGAGUUCUGAACCCCACCACCUGGGAGAAGCUGGUCCUCCACCUGAGCGCCCCUUCUGACCUUCUGGGGGAAAAAUAAUCAUUUAAAAAAGACAUGAAAACAUGUAUUUAGCUGUACAUUUUUUCCUUGCCUUUCGCUCCAACAGCACUGUGGGAAUCCAGUUUUUACUUAAAAUUUUGCUGUUUUGUUCACUAUAGAUUUUUGCAUUCAUUUUUUUUUAAAUACUGCAUUAAAAUAUGACUUAUUUUGAUUAUUGAGGU